GGGCCUGUAGUUUAAUGGAUAGAAUAAGCGGUUUCGGCCCGCUUGAUCGAGGUUCGAUUCCUCGUAGGCCCA
rnacentral:tRNA from 1 species